UCAUGAACGUCGUUAAUUUAAUUAUUAUUUCUUUAGGAACAAGAUUUAAUUUUUGAAAUCUAAAUUAGAUUUCCUCUAAAGUGGGUUUCACCGCAUCAUAUGAGAUAUGAUAUGGUGGACAAGUUAGAGGAUAGGUUUGUCAAAGCUUGUCUAUGGGAUAUCCCAAAAGGGUUUAAGAUGUCACUUUCUUUUCCCAGUGGUUCACAAUGUAAUUGUGAGCAAUCAUACUAUUUUUUUGGAAAUAGUGAGAGGAUGAACUCCAAGAGAAAUCUCUAAAGAACAAUGAGUCACAGAAACUGUACAACUUAUUUAUAAUGACCCAGUAUAUAUAGUACCACCUCCAUC
rnacentral:lncRNA from 1 species